AUGGCCACCGCGAAUCACUGUUAUCACUCAUAUCUCUUUAUGUCUCAAUCCUCUCUAUGGUUCCGUCUGUUACGUGAUUUCCGACCUUCGUCGUCGUCGUCGCAUCUUCAUCUUCAAAUUCAUCGUGCGAUCUCCGUCUCAACCUUCUUCGUCUCAUUUUCGUCAUCUCUUAUGCAUCAAUAA